rnacentral:lncRNA from 1 species
CAGCCGAGGGGCCUCGAUACCUAGCCUAUAACCUUCCUGGGGUCCGUCCCAACAUUCUUUGUUUCAAUCAAACUCCAAAACGGUCGACUUUUCAGGUACUCCGGGAUACGGCGUGUUUUUCACAACCGUAGCCUUGUCUGUAGUUGACGUGGUGUGCAGUUGGUGGGACUCUUGUACGUUGGACCGGGACUUCCAAAGUUAUGUCCACUUGUUGGAGACAUGCCUGGGUCGAGGAAGGAAAUGGAGUUGAAAACACGGCUCCGCAAACCCCCGACGACACUUGGCUGAGAGAUCGAUUACGAUUCCAUCAAAACUUUCAUUUGCCAAGGGACGUGAGAUCGGGUUCUCUUCUCUCGGGAGCAAUAUCCGCACACCUUCCUCGGCAGGUGAUGUUACGAGGCAUUUAAUCACCUGUCGGAGCACAUGGGGCUUUCCUUUGAGGCUUCUUCAGGAAGAUGGGGAGAUUUGGUUCCUCUGCAGCUACAGACAUUCACAAGUAGCACAUACGUGAGAAUGCUACAUGCCUCAGCUGCCGGACCGGUUUCAUCAAUUGUUGUUUGCCCGUGGCCUCGUGAACCAUCGCCGUCUCCAGACUUGUACCUUCUAUAUUUGUUAGACAUCACACGUACACCAAUAUAUCAAUGAGUGUGCCGUCCAUCGGAUAUUCCAUCCGCAAUGACUACCUGGUGGACCUUAAAGAUCCCACAGCAUCUUUCGCGAAGAGUAGGUGAGUUAUUGUACUUUGAACACGUUACAAAUCUGAGUCAACUGCACGUCGUCAGUGGACGUCAGGCCUGGCCAACCGGUUUGUAAAAGACUCGGCCAAAAAUGUUCCCCGGCCAACACCACAAGGAGGAAGGAAUGAUUGUUGCCAUUAUAGAACCCCCCCCCCCCCC